AACGAACGCUGGCGGCAUGCCUAACACAUGCAAGUCGAACGCAUGUAGCAAUACAUGAGUGGCGAACGGGUGAGUAACGCGUGGGAACCUGCCUAGUGGUAGGGAAUAACCGCGGGAAACUGCGGCUAAUACCCUAUGAGCCCUCCGGGGGAAAGAUUUAUCGCCAUUAGAGGGGCCCGCGUCGGAUUAGCUAGUUGGUGGGGUAACGGCCCACCAAGGCGACGAUCCGUAGCUGGCUGAGAGGAUGAUCAGCCACACUGGGACUGAGAUACGGCCCAGACUCCUACGGGAGGCAGCAGUGGGGAAUAUUGGACAAUGGGGGCAACCCUGAUCCAGCAAUGCCGCGUGAGUGAAGAAGGCCUUAGGGUUGUAAAGCUCUUUCGGCGGGGAAGAUGAUGACGGUACCCGCAGAAGAAG
rnacentral:rRNA from 1 species